GUCAACGGUCAUAUUACGUUGAAAACAUCAGUUCUUGUCCGAUCACUGCAGUCAAGCAACGUUGGGCAUAAUUGGUAUUUGGAUGAGUGACUGCUUGAGAAUACCGUGUACUGUUCGCU
rnacentral:rRNA from 1 species